rnacentral:rRNA from 1 species
GACGAACGCUGGCGGCGUGCCUAACACAUGCAAGUCGAACGGAACUGUUUUGAAUGAUUUCUUCGGAAUGAUUUCGAUCUGGUUUAGUGGCGGUCGGGAGCGUAACGCGUGAGUAACGUGCCUUCAAGAGGGGAAUAGCAUUUAGAAAAGAAUGCUAAUACCUCAUGACAUUUCGGAACAAAAUGGUUUUGAUAUCAAAGAUUUUAUCGCUUGAAGUUGGGUUCGCGUCCGAUUAGUUAGUUGGUGAGGUAAGGGCACACCAAGACCGCAAUCGGUAGCCGGACAGAGAGGCAGAGCGGCGACAUCGGGGCGAGGACACGGCACAGACUCCUACGGGAUGGAGCGGAGGGUGAUAGUGCGAAAUGGGGUGAAUGCAGACGCUUCAACGCUGCUUGAAGGAUGAUGUUUUAGGAAAAGGAGUCUGCGUUUAUAAAGGACAAAAAAUGACGGUACUUAAUGAAAAAGCGCCGGCUAACUACGUG